rnacentral:lncRNA from 1 species
UGCAGUAAGCUUGGUUGUACAAUGUAGCAAUUUUUUGUCAGCUGAACACCAAGUUAAUAUUUUGUCUUCGUUAUUUUGAGUUUACUUUUUCUGACAUCGUCCCAGGAUUUAUUAUAUCCAAUACAAGACGAAGUUAACUAUUUUCUUUGUUUAAUCUCAAAUCCAUAGAUUCACAAUUCAUGACUUUUCUAUGGCUGAUCUCACUAACCUCAGACAAUAUAUCAGUAAAAAGUUCUCAAUUGAUCUGUGCCUUACAUAAAUUUAUUCCUGUAAUAGCAAACAACCUGGAAAUUUGUGUAUCGAUAGAGAUGACAGGGAGUUCAAAAUAAAUUGAACUGUGAUCAAUGUUGAUAUCCUCCAAACAGUACUCGGUAAACAGAAAUGUGAUAAGCAAUAGCUGUGAAAAGAUUUAUGAUAUGGAAACAGUAGAACUUACUUUCAGACUUUAGGUAGAUAUAAACUGAUGUUUAUUUACCAAAUAGAUACAACCUGCAUUGGCAGAUCCAAGGUGGGGGGGGUCUGGGGGUUGGAACCCCCCUUGUUUUGGCCGCUCAAUGCAUUUGAAUGGGGACAUAUAGUUGAAACCCCCCCUUUGUCCUGGGUUGGGAACCCCCCUUUUUAAAAUGGCUGGAUCCCCCCUGACCAGAACUGAAGUUCAAAAGAAGUAUAACUGUGAUCGUUUGCUCAUUAUUGAUACCACUGCAAUCUCUACUUGGUAAACAAAAAAUUAACAAACAAUAGAAGUAAAAAUGCAUCAUAUUUUUCAUUGACAGGUUGG